GUAUGGCUCAAGGUGCACAGCACCUGCCCAACAAGCAGGAGUCCUGAGUUCAAACCCCAGUGC
rnacentral:tRNA from 1 species